rnacentral:rRNA from 1 species
GACAGAGGGUGCAAACGUUGUUCGGAAUUACUGGGCGUAAAGCGCGUGUAGGCAGUUUCGCAAGUCGGGUGUGAAAGCCCUGGGCUCAACCUAGGAAGUGCACUCGAAACUGCGAGACUUGAGUCCUGGAGAGGAAGGCGGAAUUCUCGGUGUAGAGGUGAAAUUCGUAGAUAUCGAGAGGAACACCGGUGGCGAAGGCGGCCUUCUGGACAGUGACUGACGCUGAGGCGCGAAAGCGUGGGGAGCAAACAGG